rnacentral:rRNA from 1 species
CGGCAGGCCUAACACAUGCAAGUCGAACGGGUAACAGGAAGAAGCUUGCUUCUUUGCUGACGAGUGGCGGACGGGUGAGUAAUGUCUGGGAAACUGCCUGAUGGAGGGGAUAACUACUGGAAACGGUAGCUAAUACCGCAUAACGUCGCAAGACCAAAGAGGGGGACCUUCGGGCCUCUUGCCAUCGGAUGUGCCCAGAUGGGAUUAGCUAGUAGGUGGGGUAACGGCUCACCUAGGCGACGAUCCCUAGCUGGUCUGAGAGGAUGACCAGCCACACUGGAACUGAGACACGGUCCAGACUCCUACGGGAGGCAGCAGUGGGGAAUAUUGCACAAUGGGCGCAAGCCUGAUGCAGCCAUGCCGCGUGUAUGAAGAAGGCCUUCGGGUUGUAAAGUACUUUCAGCGGGGAGGAAGGGAGUAAAGUUAAUACCUUUGCUCAUUGACGUUACCCGCAGAAGAAGCACCGGCUAACUCCGUG